rnacentral:rRNA from 1 species
GUCCGUCAUGACCCUCUAGAGAAGAGUUUUCCCCUUCGGGGGACAGAGUGACAGGUGGUGCAUGGUUGUCGUCAGCUCGUGUCGUGAGAUGUUGGGUUAAGUCCCGCAACGAGCGCAACCCUUAAGCUUAGUUGCCAUCAUUAAGUUGGGCACUCUAAGUUGACUGCCGGUGACAAACCGGAGGAAGGUGGGGAUGACGUCAAAUCAUCAUGCCCCUUAUGAUUUGGGCUACACACGUGCUACAAUGGACAAUACAAAGGGCAGCGAAACCGCGAGGUCAAGCAAAUCCCAUAAAGUUGUUCUCAGUUCGGAUUGUAGUCUGCAACUCGACUAUAUGAAGCUGGAAUCGCUAGUAAUCGUAGAUCAGCAUGCUACGGUGAAUACGUUCCCGGGUCUUGUAACACACCGA